ensembl:lncRNA
GUUAGAGUGUAGAGGAGGCAGGUAGCCUAGUGGUUAGAGUGUAGAGGAGGCAGGUAGACUAGUGGUUAGAGUGUAGAGGAGGCAGGUAGACUAGUGGUUAGAGGAGGCAGGUAGACUAGUGGUUAGAGUGUAGAGGAGGCAGGUAGCCUAGUGGUUAGAGGAGGCAGGUAGCCUAGUGGUUAGAGUGUAGAGGAGGCAGGUAGACUAGUGGUUAGAGUGUAGAGGUAGUCUAGUGGUUAGAGUGUAGAGGAGGCAGGUAGACUAGUGGUUAGAGUGUAGAGGAGGCAGGUAGUCUAGUGGUUAGAGGAGGCAGGUAGCCUAGUGGUUAGAGUAGGCCGUAAUUGUAAAUAAGAAUUUGUUCUUAACGGACUAGUUAAAUACUGGUUAAAUGAAUAAACAUGUAAAGUCUGACUGUGUCCUGGCUCUAGCUGUGGUGUGUUGGGAGCGGUUAGAGUUGGGUUGUCUGCUGGUCGUUGUCUCUCCAUCACUCUCACUGGAGCUCACAAUACGCUGGGCCUUCCGACCAGCACGCCUCAACAAUGGCUUCCUAAAACACACACACAGGUCAGAUAGAGACAGACGGGUCAGAUCG